rnacentral:rRNA from 1 species
UACGAAGGGGGCUAGCGUUGUUCGGAUUUACUGGGCGUAAAGGGCGCGUAGGCGGUGCAAUAGGUCAGGCGUGAAAGCCCCGGGCUCAACCCGGGAAUUGCGCUUGAUACUGUUGCGCUUGAAUCCAGGAGAGGAUGGCGGAAUUCCCAGUGUAGAGGUGAAAUUCGUAGAUAUUGGGAAGAACACCAGUGGCGAAGGCGGCCAUCUGGCCUGGAAUUGACGCUGAGGCGCGAAAGCGUGGGGAGCAAACAGG